CAAAACAUGUCUUAUUGAAAAUAAUUUUAAGUCAAUCUGCCCAAUGAUAAUAUUUAAUGGCUGCAGUAUAAUUAACUGUACAAAGGUAGCAUAAUCAAUUGAUUUUUAAAUGAAAUCUGGAAUGAAAGGAUUAAUGAAAUAUAUACUGUCUCAUAUAUAUAUUAUGAAUUUAAAAUUUUAAUAAAAAUGUUAAAAUUUUUUUAUGGGACGAUAAGACCCUAUAGAAUUUUAUAUAAAAUUAAUUUUAUAUUAAAUAUAAAAUUUAAUUUUAUAUUUAAUUGGGAGAAUUAUUAAAUUUAAUAAAUUUUAAUUUUAAAUAACUUUAAUUUAAGAAAAUUAGAAUUGAUCUUUAAUUUAAAAUUUAUAGAAUAAAUUACCUUAGGGAUAACAGCGUUAUAUUUUUUUAUAGAUCGUAUAGAAAAAAAUGAUUGCGACCUCGAUGUUGAAUUAAGAUAAAUUUUAAAUGUAGAAGUUUAAUAAUUAAGUCUGUUCGACUUUUAAAAUCUUACAUGAUUUGAGUUCAAAUCGACGUAAGU
rnacentral:rRNA from 1 species